rnacentral:rRNA from 1 species
GGACGAACGCUGGCGGCGUGCUUAACACAUGCAAGUCGAACGCUGAAGCCYAGCUUGCUGGGUGGAUGAGUGGCGAACGGGUGAGUAACACGUGAGUAACCUGCCCCCUUCUUUGGGAUAACGCCCGGAAACGGGUGCUAAUACUGGAUAUUCACUGGCCUUCGCAUGGGGGUUGGUGGAAAGGUUUUUUCUGGUGGGGGAUGGGCUCGCGGCCUAUCAGCUUGUUGGUGGGGUGAUGGCCUACCAAGGCUUUGACGGGUAGCCGGCCUGAGAGGGUGACCGGUCACAUUGGGACUGAGAUACGGCCCAGACUCCUACGGGAGGCAGCAGUGGGGAAUAUUGCACAAUGGGCGAAAGCCUGAUGCAGCGACGCCGCGUGAGGGAUGACGGCCUUCGGGUUGUAAACCUCUUUCGCUCAUGGUCAAGCCGCAGCUUUGGGUUGUGGUGAGGGUAGUGGGUAAAGAAGCGCCGGCUAACUAC